UACGUUCCCGGGCCUUGUACACACCGCCCGUCACACCACGAAAGUUGGCAAUACCGAAGCCGGUGGCCUAACCUUUUGGGAGGGAGCCGUCGAAGGUAGGGUACGAUGAUUGGGUG
rnacentral:rRNA from 1 species